GAUGAUCUCGGUCGUCCAUGAACGAGU
rnacentral:piRNA from 1 species